CACGUGUGCAACCAACCCCGUACCGGGAGAUAACCCGCGGAAACGUGGACUAACACCCCAUAACACCUUUCCCCCGCAUGGGGGGGAGUUUAAAACCCCGGUGGUACGGGACGGGCACGCGCGACAUUAGGUAGUUGGCGGGGUAACGGCCCACCAAGCCGACGAUGUCUAGGGGUUCUGAGAGGAAGGUCCCCCACACUGGAACUGAGACACGGUCCAGACUCCUACGGGAGGCAGCAGUGAGGAAUAUUGGUCAAUGGGCGAGAGCCUGAACCAGCCAAGUCGCGUGAGGGAAGAAUGGUCUAUGGCCUGUAAACCUCUUUUGUCAAGGAAGAAUAAGCGGCACGAGUGCCACCUUGCCAGUACUUGACGAAUAAGCAUCGGCUAACUCCGUGCCAGCAGCCGCGGUAAUACGGGGGAUGCGAGCGUUAUCCGGAUUUAUUGGGUUUAAAGGGCGCGUAGGCGGGACGGCAAGUCAGCGGUAAAAGACUGCAGCUAAACUGUAGCACGCCGUUGAAACUGUCGACCUGGAGACGAGACGAGGGAGGCGGAACAAGUGAAGUAGCGGUGAAAUGCAUAGAUAUCACUUGGAACCCCGAUAGCGAAGGCAGCUUCCCAGGCUCGAUCUGACGCUGAUGCGCGAGAGCGUGGGUAGCGAACAGGAUUAGAUACCCUGGUAGUCCACGCCGUAAACGAUGCUCACUGGAUCUUGGCGAUACACGGCCAGGGUUCAAGCGAAAGUAUUAAGUGAGCCACCUGGGGAGUACGUCGGCAACGAUGAAACUCAAAGGAAUUGACGGGGGCCCGCACAAGCGGAGGAACAUGUGGUUUAAUUCGAUGAUACGCGAGGAACCUUACCCGGGUUUAAAUGCAGGUUGCAUGAGGUGGAAACACCUCUUUCCCUCGGGACUACCUGCAAGGUGCUGCAUGGUUGUCGUCAGCUCGUGCCGUGAGGUGUCGGGUUAAGUCCCAUAACGAGCGCAACCCCUAUCGCCAGUUGCCAUCGGUUCAAGCCGGGCACUCUGUCGAGACUGCCACCGUAAGGUGCGAGGAAGGCGGGGAUGACGUCAAAUCAGCACGGCCCUUACACCCGGGGCGACACACGUGUUACAAUGGCCGGUACAGAGGGCAGCCACGGGGCGACCCGGAGCGAAUCUCUAAAGCCGGUCGUAGUUCGGACUGGAGUCUGCAACCCGACUCCACGAAGUUGGAUUCGCUAGUAAUCGCGCAUCAGC
rnacentral:rRNA from 1 species